UUUCUACUCCCUCCAUCCAAAAAUACUAGGCAUCAAAAUGGAUAAAAAGAGAUGUAUCUAAAACUAAAAUACGUCUAGAUACAUUUCCUUUUAUCCAUUUUGAUGACAAGUAUUUCUGGACGGAGGGAGUAUUUG
rfam:Triticum aestivum genome assembly, contig: Triticum_aestivum_CS42_TGACv1_scaffold_573148_7AS